rnacentral:rRNA from 1 species
AUUGAACGCUGGCGGCAGGCCUAACACAUGCAAGUCGAGCGGAGCGGCGGACGGGUGAGUAAUGCCUAGGAAUCUGCCUGGUAGUGGGGGAUAACGUCCGGAAACGGGCGCUAAUACCGCAUACUAUCAGAUGAGCCUAGGUCGGAUUAGCUAGUUGGUGGGGUAAAGGCCUACCAAGGCGACGAUCCGUAACUGGUCUGAGAGGAUGAUCAGUCAAAGUGGAAAGGAGAAAGGGUCCAUACUCCUACGGUGGGCAGCAGUGGGGAAUAUUGGAAAAGGGGGGAAAGCCGGAUCAAGCCAUGCCGCGGGUGUGAAGAAGGUCUUCGGAUUGUAAAGCACUUUAAGUUGGGAGGCGUUACCAACAGAAUAAGCACCGGCUAACUUCGUGCCAGCAGCCGCGGUAAUUC